rnacentral:rRNA from 1 species
GACGAACGCUGGCGGCGUGCUUAACACAUGCAAGUCGAACGGAAAGGCCCUGCUUUUGUGGGGUGCUCGAGUGGCGAACGGGUGAGUAACACGUGAGUAACCUGCCCUUGACUUUGGGAUAACUUCAGGAAACUGGGGCUAAUACCGGAUAGGAGCUCCUGCUGCAUGGUGGGGGUUGGAAAGUUUCGGCGGUUGGGGCUGGACUCGCGGCUUAUCAGCUUGUUGGUGGGGUAGUGGCUUACCAAGGCUUUGACGGGUAGCCGGCCUGAGAGGGUGACCGGCCACAUUGGGACUGAGGUACGGCCCAGACUCCUACGGGAGGCAGCGGUGGGGAAUAUUGCACAAUGGGCGGAAGCCUGAUGCAGCAACGCCGCGUGCGGGAUGACGGCCUUCGGGUUGUAAACCGCUUUCGCCUGUGACGAAGCGUGAGUGACGGUAAUGGGUAAAGAAGCACCGGCUAACUACGUG